GACGAACGCUGGCGGCGUGCCUAACACAUGCAAGUCGAACGGAGUUGACCCUUCGGGGUUAACUUAGUGGCGAACGGGUGAGUAACGCGUGAGAAACCUGCCUUUCAGUGGGGGACAACAGUUGGAAACGACUGCUAAUACCGCAUAAUGUCAUUUGGGGGCAUCCCCGGAUGACCAAAGAUUUAUUGCUGAAAGAUGGUCUCGCGUCUGAUUAGCUAGUUGGUGGGGUAAUGGCCCACCAAGGCGACGAUCCGUAACUGGUCUGAGAGGAUGAUCAGUCACCCUGGAACUGAGACACGGGCCAGACUCCUACGGGAGGCAGCAGUGGGGAAUAUUGGACAAUGGGCGAAAUCCUGAUCCAGCCAUGCCGCGUGUGUGAAGAAGGUCUUCGGAUUGUAAAGCACUUUAAGUCGGGAGGAAGGGCUGUAGGCUAAUACCUUGCAGUUUUGACGUUACCGACAGAAUAAGCACCGGCUAACUUCGUGCCAGCAGCCGCCGUAACAC
rnacentral:rRNA from 1 species